CUUGCAACCAUAUCAUGUUGAAACACCAGUUCUAGUAAGAUCAUCGAAGUUAAGCAGCAUCAAGCCUGGUCAGUAUAUAGAUUGGUGACUGCUUGGGAAUACCAGGUGCUGUAAG